UACGGAAGGUGCAAGCGUUAAUCGGAAUUACUGGGCGUAAAGCGCGCGUAGGCGGCUUGGUAAGUCGGGUGUGAAAGCCCCGGGCUCAACCUGGGAACGGCGCUCGAUACUGCUGGGCUGGAGUACGAGAGAGGGGGGUGGAAUUCCAGGUGUAGCGGUGAAAUGCGUAGAGAUCUGGAGGAACACCAGUGGCGAAGGCGGCCCCCUGGCUCGAUACUGACGCUGAGGUGCGAAAGCGUGGGGAGCAAACAGG
rnacentral:rRNA from 1 species